AAGAGAUCGGACGGGGGCCCCAAAGAACGCUCGCCGGCGCGGAACCCCAGCUCACCGUGCCUCCGUCCUUAAUGAUGAUCUUCUUGGCCAGCAUGAUACUGCGGUUCGCGGCCCGUUUCUUCUUCUUCCCCUGGGUCAUUUUACCAUCCUCGUUUCCUGGCGCUGCUGCAGCCACUCCCGGGGCGGCCGGCCCCAGCGGCGAGUGCCGUCCCGCCACUACCGCCGGGCCGAGCCGCUCGGGGCGCCCGCCGCCAUCUUAAGGGCCCGGCCUGCCUCCGGCGGCGCGUCACAUCGUGCGAUCGGCCGACGAGCCCGCCCCGCCCACGUGACGCCGCCCCGCCCACUCGCGAGCUCCGCGGCCGCAGCGCUCAGAGGGAAGGCGGCCGGGGAGGGAAGGCGGCCGGGGAGGGGGGCCCGCGGGCUCGCUGAGCGCUGCUGGCCGCCGGUCAAGCCCUGUGCUUUCGGUUCACCAGCUCGCUUAAUCCUCACGACAGUUCUGGGCGAUAGGGACAGGUAUUGUACCCCCCUCACAGACGAAGAAAUUUGUUUCAAAAAGUUGUUAUCUGUUCACAGAAACACGGCUGAUAAAUGGUUGCACUGGAGUUCUGCCCAGACGUCCUAAACUACCAAGACCGGAACUGAAGGGAACAGUGAAGAGAAAUCAUUUUCCAGAAAUAGCGGGUAACCUGAGAGAGCCUGGGAAAGUCGGCUGCCAUGUCUUGAGGAUAUUCAGGCAGCCUAUGGAGAGAUUCAGUCAUCCAGGAAUUGUAGCCUCCUACCAAAAGCCAAACUAGAAAUGGAAAACAAACCAAUUUCCAUAGACCGUAGAAGAUAGGCAUUUUAGCCUGAUAGAUACUUCCAGUUACAUUUUCCUAUCACUCUGUCCACUGAAAUGGCUUAGAAGCAAUGACACCUCAGUAACAAUGGAUUCUAAAUUCCAUUCCCUGGCUAGGAAGAUUCCAACGAAAAAAAUAAAUUCCAUUCCCUUUAAAAGGAAUAGAACUCCUUGGAGAAAUAGCUGGUUUGCCAGGUUUGGAAUAAGAUAAGUACAAGGAUAAGUUAUUAUUCAGACCUGGAAUUCUUACAUCAAAGCCUACAUUUAUAUAAAUUUUGGUCAACAUUCCCAAACUGGGAUCCAACAAAGUUAUAUCAAUCUAUAUUCCUAGCAACAACAGAUUUUCUCAAAGUAAACUCCAGCAAAGCCACUUGAAAAACAUGCUGUAAGAACUGCCAUGAGUCCUACAAAUUGAGAGCCAGCUGAAAGUUCCUUAGAAUCAAGCUCUUGAGAAUCUGA